rnacentral:lncRNA from 1 species
AGAUAGUUCCUCUGGGUGAAAUUCAUGUGAUGUGGACCUGAUUGAUCUUCUCAAGUAUUGUGUCAAAUGAAUCACUUUCAGAAUUAUGUAUUGAUCGUGCAAUUGAUAUGGUUUAGGAACACUUCAAGAAGAUUGACAUUGGAGAAAAGGUCAACAUCAAACAGAAGCCAACAAAAAUUUCUUACCCUGAAAUGGUAUCU